rnacentral:rRNA from 1 species
CAAGUCGAGCGAUCUUCUUCGGAAGAGAGCGGCGGACGGGUGAGUAACGCGUGGGUAACCUGCCCUGUACACACGGAUAACAUACCGAAAGGUAUGCUAAUACGGGAUAACAUAAGAAAUUCGCAUGUCUUUCUUAUCAAAGCUCCGGCGGUACAGGAUGGACCCGCGUCUGAUUAGCUAGUUGGUGAGGUAACGGCUCACCAAGGCGACGAUCAGUAGCCGACCUGAGAGGGUGAUCGGCCACAUUGGAACUGAGACACGGUCCAAACUCCUACGGGAGGCAGCAGUGGGGAAUAUUGCACAAUGGGCGAAAGCCUGAUGCAGCAACGCCGCGUGAGCGAUGAAGGCCUUCGGGUCGUAAAGCUCUGUCCUCAAGGAAGAUAAUGGCGGUACUUGAGGAGGAAGCCCCGGCUAACUACGUGCCAGCAGCCGCGGUAAUACGUAGGGGGCUAGCGUUAUCCGGAUUUACUGGGCGUAAAGGGUGCGUAGGCGGUCUUUUAAGUCAGGAGUGAAAGGCUACGGCUCAACCGUAGUAAGCUCUUGAAACUGGAGGACUUGAGUGCAGGAGAGGAGAGUGGAAUUCCUAGUGUAGCGGUGAAAUGCGUAGAUAUUAGGAGGAACACCAGUAGCGAAGGCGGCUCUCUGGACUGU